rnacentral:tRNA from 1 species
GCCGAAGUGGCGGAAUUGGUAGACGCGCUGGACUCAAAAUCCAGUGUCAGCAAUGAUGUAGGGGUUCGAUUCCCCUCUUCGGUA